rnacentral:lncRNA from 1 species
GCUCACUCUUCUACUUUUUCCUCUCAACUAAGGAGUAUGUGAGUACCUUUUGAGCCUCUCAAUGCAAGGGUAAGUCUGGUGCAUCAUGGCAAUUGCUCCUAUGUGGUAGGAUUCAACUAGGCAAGGGUGGACUACCUUUUCUACUUUUCCAAGUAGGUAACCGAUCAUUGAUUGAGAUAAGCUUGAAGGUGACCUUCUGAGUGCUGAAUAUUUUCAGGUCGUGGGUAUAUCAGGAAGCUGUGAGGAGUCCUGUGCCAUUCUGAGAUGUCUCUGCUUCGCGGCUGCCAUCACCAUCACCAUCACCACGGAAGGGCAGCAGGGUCCACAAGCCUAUGAUGACUUUCUGAAAGGGAGCUUGAUGACUUGGGGAUUUGGAAGUGGAGUGAUAAAUGUAGUGAAGAAAUAGAUGCUUCUGGUGAAGAUGACUUAAAACCAACCUCUUCGAAGCCCUCAAAAGGUUAUGUGGGAUUCAGAGAGAGCUUACUGAUUAUCUAACCCAAUGGAGUUCUUGACCUGGAGUCCAUGAAAUUUAUAUAUAUGUAUGUAUGUAUGUUUUGUAUGUGUAUGUGUAUGUGUAUGUAUAUGUAUGUUUGUAUAUGUAUGUAUAU